rnacentral:rRNA from 1 species
UACGAAGGGAGCUAGCGUUGUUCGGAUUCAUUGGGCGUAAAGGGUGCGUAGGCGGCGCGGUAAGUCGGGUGUGAAAUCUUGGAGCUUAACUCCGAAACUGCAUUCGAUACUGCCGUGCUUGAGGACUGGAGAGGAGACUGGAAUUCAUGGUGUAGCAGCGAAAUGCGUAGAGAUCAUGAGGAAGACCAGUGGCGAAGGCGGGUCUCUGGACAGUUCCUGACACUGAGGCACGAAGGCCAGGGGAGCAAACGGG